rnacentral:rRNA from 1 species
GUGAGUAACACGUGGGUAACCUGCCCAUAAGACUGGGAUAACUCCGGGAAACCGGGGCUAAUACCGGAUAACAUUUUGAACCGCAUGGUUCGAAAUUGAAAGGCGGCUUCGGCUGUCACUUAUGGAUGGACCCGCGUCGCAUUAGCUAGUUGGUGAGGUAACGGCUCACCAAGGCAACGAUGCGUAGCCGACCUGAGAGGGUGAUCGGCCACACUGGGACUGAGACACGGCCCAGACUCCUACGGGAGGCAGCAGUAGGGAAUCUUCCGCAAUGGACGAAAGUCUGACGGAGCAACGCCGCGUGAGUGAUGAAGGCUUUCGGGUCGUAAAACUCUGUUGUUAGGGAAGAACAAGUGCUAGUUGAAUAAGCUGGCACCUUGACGGUACCUAACCAGAAAGCCACGGCUAACUACGUGCCAGCAGCCGCGGUAAUACGUAGGUGGCAAGCGUUAUCCGGAAUUAUUGGGCGUAAAGCGCGCGCAGGUGGUUUCUUAAGUCUGAUGUGAAAGCCCACGGCUCAACCGUGGAGGGUCAUUGGAAACUGGGAGACUUGAGUGCAGAAGAGGAAAGUGGAAUUCCAUGUGUAGCGGUGAAAUGCGUAGAGAUAUGGAGGAACACCAGUGGCGAAGGCGACUUUCUGGUCUGUAACUGACACUGAGGCGCGAAAGCGUGGGGGAGCAAACAGGAUUAGAUACCCUGGUAGUCCACGCCGUAAACGAUGAGUG